rnacentral:rRNA from 1 species
CCUACGUGAGGCUGCAGUGAGGAAUAUUGGUCAAUGGGCGCGAGCCUGAACCAGCCAAGUCGCGUGAGGGAAGACGGUCCUAUGGAUUGUAAACCUCUUUUGUCGGGGAGCAAAAGACGCCACGCGUGGCGUUCCGAGAGUACCCGAAGAAAACGCAUCGGCUAACUCCGUCCCAGCAGCCGCGGUAAUACGGAGGAUCCGAGCGUUAUCCGGAUUUAUUGGGUUUAAAGGGAGCGUAGAUGGGUUGUUAAGUCAGUUGUGAAAGUUUGCGGAUCAACCGUAAAAUUGCAAUUGAUACUGGCAGGAUUGAGUACAGUUGAGGUAGGCGGAAGUCGUGGUGUAGCGGUGAAAUGCUUAGAUAUCACGAAGAACCCCGAUUGCGAAGGCAGCUUACUAAACUGUGACUGACAUUGAUGCUCGAAAGUGUGGGUAUCAAACAGGAUUAGAUACCCGUGUAGUC